rnacentral:rRNA from 1 species
UUAUUUGAGAGUUUGAUCCUGGCUCAGGAUGAACGCUGGCGGCGUGCCUAACACAUGCAAGUUGAGCGAUUUACUUCGGUAAAGAGCGGCGGACGGGUGAGUAACGCGUGGGUAACCUACCCUGUACACACGGAUAACAUACCGAAAGGUAUGCUAAUACGGGAUAAUAUAUUUGAGAGGCAUCUCUUGAAUAUCAAAGGUGAGCCAGUACAGGAUGGACCCGCGUCUGAUUAGCUAGUUGGUAAGGUAACGGCUUACCAAGGCGACGAUCAGUAGCCGACCUGAGAGGGUGAUCGGCCACAUUGGAACUGAGACACGGUCCAAACUCCUACGGGAGGCAGCAGUGGGGAAUAUUGCACAAUGGGCGAAAGCCUGAUGCAGCAACGCCGCGUGAGUGAUGAAGGCCUUCGGGUCGUAAAACUCUGUCCUCAAGGAAGAUAAUGACGGUACUUGAGGAGGAAGCCCCGGCUAACUACGUGCCAGCAGCCGCGGUAAUACGUAGGGGGCUAGCGUUAUCCGGAUUUACUGGGCGUAAAGGGUGCGUAGGCGGUCUUUCAAGUCAGGAGUGAAAGGCUACGGCUCAACCGUAGUAAGCUCUUGAAACUGGGAGACUUGAGUGCAGGAGAGGAGAGUGGAAUUCCUAGUGUAGCGGUGAAAUGCGUAGAUAUUAGGAGGAACACCAGUUGCGAAGGCGGCUCUCUGGACUGUAACUGACGCUGAGGCACGAAAGCGUGGGGAGCAAACAGGAUUAGAU